GUGCUGUGAGCUCGAUGAGUAGGGCGGGACACGUGGUAUCCUGUCUGAAUAUGGGGGGACCAUCCUCCAAGGCUAAAUACUCCUGACUGACCGAUAGUGAACCAGUACCGUGAGGGAAAGGCGAAAAGAACCCCGGCGAGGGGAGUGAAAAAGAACCUGAAACCGUGUACGUACAAGCAGUGGGAGCACCCUUUGGGUGUGACUGCGUACCUUUUGUAUAAUGGGUCAGCGACUUAUAUUCUGUAGCAAGGUUAACCGAAUAGGGGAGCCGGAGGGAAACCGAGUCUUAACCGGGCGUUAAGUUGCAGGGUAUAGACCCGAAACCCGGUGAUCUAGCCAUGGGCAGGUUGAAGGUUGGGUAACACUAACUGGAGGACCGAACCGACUAAUGUUGAAAAAUUAGCGGAUGACCUGUGGCUGGGGGUGAAAGGCCAAUCAAACCGGGAGAUAGCUGGUUCUCCCCGAAAGCUAUUUAGGUAGCGCCUCGUGAAUUCAUCUCCGGGGGUAGAGCACUGUUUCGGCUAGGGGGCCAUCCCGGCUUACCAACCCGAUGCAAACUGCGAAUACCGGAGAAUGUUAUCACGGGAGACACACGGCGGGUGCUAACGUCCGUCGUGAAGAGGGAAACAACCCAGACCGCCAGCUAAGGUCCCAAAGUCAUGGUUAAGUGGGAAACGAUGUGGGAAGGCCCAGACAGCCAGGAUGUUGGCUUAGAAGCAGCCAUCAUUUAAAGAAAGCGUAAUAGCUCACUGGUCGAGUCGGCCUGCGCGGAAGAUGUAACGGGGCUAAACCAUGCACCGAAGCUGCGGCAGCGACACUGUGUGUUGUUGGGUAGGGGAGCGUUCUGUAAGCCUGUGAAGGUGUGUCGUGAGGCAUGCUGGAGGUAUCAGAAGUGCGAAUGCUGACAUAAGUAACGAUAAAGCGGGUGAAAAGCCCGCUCGCCGGAAGACCAAGGGUUCCUGUCCAACGUUAAUCGGGGCAGGGUGAGUCGACCCCUAAGGCGAGGCCGAAAGGCGUAGUCGAUGGGAAACGGGUUAAUAUUCCCGUACUUGGUGUUACUGCGAAGGGGGGACGGAGAAGGCUAUGUUGGCCGGGCGACGGUUGUCCCGGUUUAAGCGUGUAGGUGUGUGUUCCAGGUAAAUCCGGUUCACUUUAACACUGAGGCGUGACGACGAGGCACUACGGUGCUGAAGCAACAAAUGCCCUGCUUCCAGGAAAAGCCUCUAAGCAUCAGGUAACAUCAAAUCGUACCCCAAACCGACACAGGUGGUCAGGUAGAGAAUACCAAGGCGCUUGAGA
rnacentral:rRNA from 1 species